UGAGGUCAGCGCGUGCUUGUCAAUUUCUAGCUGAACAGGGUUAUGAUGUUAUCAAUGUCCAAGGUGGAAUGACGGCCUUUGAAAAUCUUUAAAAUUUUGCAUUUCUCCUACUUGGUUUGGACUAGGUAGGAGAAAUUU
rnacentral:sRNA from 1 species